rnacentral:rRNA from 1 species
UGGGGAAUUUUGGACAAUGGGGGAAACCCUGAUCCAGCCAUCCCGCGUGUGCGAUGAAGGCCUUCGGGUUGUAAAGCACUUUUGGCAGGAAAGAAACGUCAUGGGUUAAUACCCCGUGAAACUGACGGUACCUGCAGAAUAAGCACCGGCUAACUACGUGCCAGCAGCCGCGGUAAUACGUAGGGUGCAAGCGUUAAUCGGAAUUACUGGGCGUAAAGCGUGCGCAGGCGGUUCGGAAAGAAAGAUGUGAAAUCCCAGAGCUCAACUUUGGAACUGCAUUUUUAACUACCGGGCUAGGUUGUGUCAGAGGGAGGUGGAAUUCCGCGUGUAGCAGUGAAAUGCGUAGAUAUGCGGAGGAACACCGAUGGCGAAGGCAGCCUCCUGGGAUAACACUGACGCUCAUGCACGAAAGCGUGGGGAGCAAACAGG